AGAGUUUGAUCCUGGCUCAGGAUGAACGCUGGCGGUAUGCCUAACACAUGCAAGUCGUACGGGAGUUUUUAACUCUAGUGGCGGACGGGUGAGUAACACGUGAGAAUUUGCCUUUAGGAGGGGGAUAACAAUUGGAAACGAAUGCUAAUACCCCAUAUGCUUUUGAGUGAAAUGGAUUUAUCCGCCUAAAGAGAAGCUCGCGGCUGAUUAGCUUGUUGGUAAGGUAAAAGCUUACCAAGGCGACGAUCAGUAUCUGGUUUGAGAGGACGAUCAGACACACUGGAACUGAGACACGGUCCAGACUCCUACGGGAGGCAGCAGUGGGGAAUUUUCCGCAAUGGGCGAAAGCCUGACGGAGCAAUACCGCGUGAGGGAAGACUGCCUAUGGGUUGUAAACCUCUUUUUUCAGGGAGGAAUAAAAUGACGUGUACCUGAAGAAUAAGCAUCGGCUAACUCCGUGCCAGCAGCCGCGGUAAG
rnacentral:rRNA from 1 species